rnacentral:tRNA from 1 species
GGGCCAUUGGCGCAGUUGGGAGCGCGCCACACUGGCAGUGUGGAGGUCGUGGGUUCAAGUCCCAUAUGGUCCA